AGACUCGCGCACGUUCCAGGUGCUCGCCCUUUUCGUCCCUGGCGAAAGGGCAGUUCAACGGGAAACAGGGAGCCGGGCCGGCUGCGCGCCGGACAGGCCAACCUGUGCUGCCCCCGCAACGGUAAGCGACCGCGGUGCGCAUCCGCCAGCCACGCUGCUGGCAAGACCUGAUUCGUUAUCGGAUGCAGGCCACAUGCUCCGCAGGACCGGCCACACGCCACUGAACCGCAGGUUCGGGAAGGCGCCGGUCCCGGUGUCGCCAGCCCGGAUACCGGCCUGAACGCGGGCUGCCGCC
rnacentral:ncRNA from 1 species